ensembl:lncRNA
GCUCGGUUCUGCUCUGAAGUCCGAUCUGUGUACUGAAUUACAUCACUGUUGAUCGCCAGUAAAGGAAUCGAGCAGAAUAUGGACACAUCAUGGAACCGAUGUAAAGCAUGUUCGAGUACAGAACUGGUUUAGUCAGCUAUUUCAAGAAUGAAGAUAUGAAGAUGAGGAGAACGGAAGACGAAGAGAACCUGCUAGAACCACAAGUCAGGACUGUACGUCACUGGACAAUUCUGUCCGUUCUACGUUUGGCAGACGAGCCUAAAUACGGUCCGCUCCGAAAGUAGCGAUACAGCCAAGCCAAUUCGAACGUGUUUUCGCAAUACGUUAAAAAAAACAUACAUGCCUUUGAGAUCCAAACAUGGACGUGGAAUCGGCGAGAAAUACGGAGAUGGGCCGCAGAAAGGUCUGGAACCUUUCUGGAACCAAAGUGACGGAAGGGCCAAAGCACGGAGAAAGGUGGAGGUAGUGUUGUGGCUUGGGCUCGCUCAUCUUUAUGGAAGAUGAUGGAACUCAUGAUGGUAGCAGCUGAACGAAUUCAGAAGUUUACAGAAACAUCGUCCGGUUAAAACAAGGUUUUGAUCUGGCCAAGUCAAUCACCAGACCUUAACCCGAUUGAGCAGCAUUUCACCUUCUGAAGAGGAGACUGAAGGAAGAGACCCCCUGAAACAAGCAACAAGCUGAGACAGGCUGUGGUUCAAGCCUGGAAAAGCAACACAAAAGCAGAACGCAACAGUUUGGCAGUUUGGUGGUGUCAGUGAGUCACCCGCUUGACAGUGAGCGAUAUGCAAACCAAAUAUUAAGUGUUAUUUACUCUAGUUCACUUUAAACCGAUCAGUUCCUAAAAACUGGGUGGUCUGACACGACAGGUGCCAUCUUCGCAGUUGUUUAACAAGAUUUAAAUACGAGGAAACAAACGCUGAGAUCCUAAACUCUCGGCUCAUGUCCAUCUUUUGAUCCCAAACCCAAAUGUCUAUGGUGCAUAACAAGAAAGAAAAAAAGAAUUGGCCUUGCUGUUCCAAUACUUUUGAAGGACACUGUAGAUCCAGUCAUCUACAAUCAAACAAAGCUGUCGUUUAAAUGAUGCAGACUGAACCAAAUGGUUAAAAAUCCAGGCCUGCGUGUGCACGGUAUACAAAAUAAUAGCUGACUCGACACCAACAAGUGUCGUUAAUGUGUUACUACCUUCUAGUUACUAAUCUGCGUGCCAGAAAUACGCCUCAAAUAUACUUCAACCGGGAAGGAAGCUACUGAAGGAAAACCAUUUUAGACAUUCGACCUUGCUGUGACCUUGACGCUGUUUGGAUCGCUUCCAAAACCUAAUCGGACCAUCUGCUGCCUACAGUAAUAACAUUCGAGUCCAACAAACCUUCAACCACUCCUUCUUGAGAUCUCGUACGGAUGAACGACCCGGAUAACACGACGCCUCGUCCGGUCGGUGGUGAAGUCGUAACACGCUCUGCGAGGUGCACAAACCAUCAUUCAAUCAAGUGUCUCAAAGCUCUGAAGUGCUGCUCAGGCUCGUGCUUUGCUUUAAAUCUACUCGACCCGGCUACAAAGUAGAAGCUGAUAACGUUCACGUGAUGGCGUUACGGCCGUGAGCUACGCGAGUGUAUCGAGACGGAAACGGAAAGAGAAAAAACAACGGAGGGGUACGUGAAAUUCCUCAACUCCUUAUCGUCUUCUAAAAAAGCUUCGGAUCUAGGACAUUGCGUUUGGACAAGGGAACCUUUUGUGUCUUUCUCUCCUCACGACACAAGGAAGAUAUAUAACUGGAGUCUGGCUGGCGUCUCUGGAUAGGUUUAACUGUGAGGUGACUGCGUGAAGUAAGCAUGAGAGUGAUAUAACGGUUCUUUGCUGUGGGCUAUAUUUAGGUUGAUCCUGUUUCUGAAAAUAUCGUCUGUUAUUAGUGCAUGCUGGAUCGCACCGCAGGGGUGUAACGAUCUGACGAUUUGGAUCAAAAGCACUGAUUUUAAAAAGGGCGACGAUACAAAGCGCAUGCCGGAAUUAUACGUUGAUUAAAUAAGGACGGACAACUGGGAUGUGAAAAGUAAUUCUUAUUUUUACGUAAAUAAUAGAACGCGCUAGCAAGGUACCUACCAAAAAAAGAACAAAGAAAGAGGCCUUUUUCCCGUAAAAUCAACGGUAGGCCAACCCCAGAUUCGGAACAAAGUUGGUCAAAUACAUUAUAUGCCCAAAAGUUUGUGGACACCUGACCAUCACAUCCACAUGCAGUUCUUCCCCAAAUGUAGAAGAGCGCAAUCGAAUAGAACAGUGGUUUUCAAAGUGGGGGCUCCCCAGCAGGGGGCGCCAGGGGGGCCUCAACAAUUUGGUGUGCCCAUCCCUCCCACUAGAAUGUUUUCUCUUUCUCACUCUCAGGCAACCACACACACACACACACAAUCAAUUCCUA